rnacentral:rRNA from 1 species
CACGUAGUUAGCCGGGGCUUCUUAGUCAGGUACCGUCAUCUUCUUCCCUGCUGAUAGAGCUUUACAUACCGAAAUACUUCUUCACUCACGCGGCGUCGCUGCAUCACGGGUUUCCCCCAUUGUGCAAUAUUCCCCACUGCUGCCUCCCGUAGGAGUUUGGGCCGUGUCUCAGUCCCAAUGUGGCCGGUCACUCUCUCAAGCCGGCUACUGAUCGCUGCCUUGGUAGGCCGUUACCCUGCCAACUAGCUAAUCAGACGCGGGCCCAUCCUGUACCACCGGAGUUUUUCACACCGUGCCAUGCGGCACUGUGCGCUUAUGCGGUAUUAGCACCCAUUUCUGGGUGUUAUCCCCCGGUACAGGGCAGGUUGCCCACGCGUUACUCACCCGUCCGCCACUCAGUCAUACCCCUCUUCCGCCCGGAGGCUUCCGUGGUGUAUGCUUCGUUCGACUUGCAUGUGUUAGGCACGCCGCCAGCGUUCAUCCUGAGCCACGGAUCAAACU